rnacentral:rRNA from 1 species
CGUAGGAUCCAAGCGUUGUCCGGAUUUACUGGGUGUAAAGGGUGCGCAGGCGGACUGGUGAGUCUGGGGUGAAAUCUCGCUGCUUAACAGCGAAACUGCCUUAGAUACUAUCAGUCUUGAAUCAGCGAGAGGUUCGUGGAAUUCCGAGUGUAGCAGUGAAAUGUGUAGAUAUUCGGAAGAACACCAGUGGCGAAGGCAGCGAACUGGCGCUCGAUUGACGCUCAGGCACGAAAGCAUGGGGAUCAAACAGGAUUAGAUACCCUGGUAGUCCAUGCCCUAAACGAUGAUCACUUGGUGUCGGCCGUAAGGUCGGUGCCGGAGCUAACGCGUUAAGUGAUCCACCUGGGGAGUACGCUCGCAAGGGUG